rnacentral:rRNA from 1 species
AUUGAACGCUAGCGGGAUGCCUUACACAUGCAAGUCGAACGGCAGCGCGGACUUCGGUCUGGCGGCGAGUGGCGAACGGGUGAGUAAUGUAUCGGAACGUGCCCAGUAGCGGGGGAUAACUACUCGAAAGAGUAGCUAAUACCGCAUACGCCCUACGGGGGAAAGGGGGGGAUCGCAAGACCUCUCACUAUUGGAGCGGCCGAUAUCGGAUUAGCUAGUUGGUGAGGUAAAGGCUCACCAAGGCGACGAUCCGUAGCUGGUUUGAGAGGACGACCAGCCACACUGGGACUGAGACACGGCCCAGACUCCUACGGGAGGCAGCAGUGGGGAAUUUUGGACAAUGGGGGCAACCCUGAUCCGGCCAUUCCGCGUGUGCGAUGAAGGCCUUCGGGUUGUAAAGCACUUUUGGCAGGAAAGAAAUCGCACGGAUUAAUACUCUGUGUGGAUGACGGUACCGGCAUAAGAAGCACCGGCUAACUACGUGCCAGCAGCCGCCGCAG